rnacentral:rRNA from 1 species
UACAGAGGGUGCGAGCGUUGUUCGGAAUUAUUGGGCGUAAGGGCGCGUAGGCGGCGCCACAAGUCACUUGUGAAAACUCUGGGCUCAACUCAGAGCCUGCAAGCGAAACUGUGGUGCUGGAGUAUGGGAGAGGUGCGUGGAAUUCCGGUGUAGCGGUGAAAUGCGUAGAUAUCAGGAGGAACACCUGUGGUGUAGACAGCUUACUGGACCACUUCUGACGCUGAGACACGAAAGCGUGGGUAGCAAACAGG